UACGUAGGGGGCUAGCGUUGUCCGGAUUUAUUGGGCGUAAAGAGCGCGUAGGCGGCCAGAUAGGUCCGUUGUGAAACCUGGAGGCUUAACCUCCAGCCGCCGAUGGAAACCAUCUGGCUAGAGUCCGGAAGAGGAGAGUGGAAUUCCUGGUGUAGCGGUGAAAUGCGCAGAUAUCAGGAAGAACACCCGUGGCGAAGGCGGCUCUCUGGGACGGUACUGACGCUGAGACGCGAAAGCGUGGGGAGCGAACAGG
rnacentral:rRNA from 1 species